rnacentral:rRNA from 1 species
AUGCCUAAGUUCAACGGAAGCAACGAUCCCGAAGAGUACCUUUCAUGGGCAUUGAAAGUUGACAAGAUCUUCCGUUUGCACAAUUAUGAAGAAGAGAAGAAGAUCACGAUGGCAUCCCUUGAGUUCCAAGACUAUGUCCUUAUUUGGUGGGAACAAGUCAUUGAGCGCCGAGAGGUAAGAGGUGAUCCACCCAUCACUACUUGGGCGCAAAUGAAGGAUGUCAUGAGAGCACACUUCGUCCCUACCUACUACAACCACGACCUCUUCAAGAAACUCCAACAACUCAAGCAAGGAACCAAGAGCGUUGAAGAAUACUACAAGGAGAUGGAUAUUGCAAUGAUAAGAGCCAAUGUCACGGAAGAUGAUGAGCAAACAAUGGCACGCUUCUUGAAUGGCCUCAACCAUCCCAUCAAGAUCGCCGACUUCCAACCAUACUCAAAUCUCAUCGAGCUAGUGCACCAAGCCACCAAAGCGGAACGCCAAGUGCAAGAUGAUUUCAAAUAUGCCAAGUACUCGUCCAAGACCUACGGAUCCUUUAAUCAAGCUCCCGCGACUUCGGCAACUCCUACCUCAACUAGAGCAUCACCAAGUACCGGCGACAAGUCAAGUUACAAGAAGACUUCGACAAGCGCAAGUCGUCCUCCUACUACAAGCAACUUCAAGCCGAAAGCUUCAUCAUCAUCUACUCCAACCGAUGAGACCAUCAAGACAAGUUCCAUCAAAUGUUUCACAUGCGGAUGCCGAGGCCACAAGUCCUUCAAGUGCACAAACAAGCGCACCAUGAUCCUCAAGGACGACGGAACCUACGACUCCAUGAGUGAAGGAGAAAUGGAAGCCCUUGAGCAAGUGGCCAUGCACCGACAAGUGAACAACGAAGACGAAGAUGAUCAAGUCUUUUGUGAUGAAGAUUCAAGUCCCGCUCUUGUUGUCUCCAAGGUCUUGACUCUUCAACAUCAACAAGACGAAGAUCAAAGAUGCCAUAUCUUCCACACAAAGGCCGGUAUCAAUGGACGGUCCGUCAAGGUCAUCAUCGAUGGAGGUAGUUGCCACAACUUAGCAAGUGAAGAAUUAUGCUCCAAACUUCAAUUGGUCAAGAUGAAGGACCCUCACCCCUAUAAGGUUCAAUGGCUAAGUGACACCGGUACCAUACAAGUCGAGCAUCGAGUACAAGUCUCUUUCAAGAUCGGCGCCUAUGAAGACACUUUGGAGUGUGAUGUCCUUCCGAUGACCGUUUGCCACCUCCUUCUUGGGCGGCCAUGGAAAUUUGACCGAGGUGUCAUUCACAAUGGGCAUACCAAUCACUAUAGCUUCAAAAUGUAA